AGUGGCGGACGGGUGAGUAACGCGUGAGAAUCUGCCUUGGGGUCGGGGACAACCACUGGAAACGGUGGCUAAUACCGGAUACGCCUUCGGGUAAAAGAUUUAUUGCCCUAAGAGGAGCUCGCGUCUGAUUAGCUAGUUGGUGAGGUAAGAGCUCACCAAGGCAGCGAUCAGUAGCUGGUCUGAGAGGACGAUCAGCCACACUGGGACUGAGACACGGCCCAGACUCCUACGGGAGGCAGCAGUGGGGAAUUUUCCGCAAUGGGCGAAAGCCUGACGGAGCAAGACCGCGUGAGGGAGGAAGGCUCUUGGGUUGUAAACCUCUUUUCUCAGGGAAGAAGCUCUGACGGUACCUGAGGAAUCAGCCUCGGCUAACUCCGUGCCAGCAGCCGCGGUAAUACGGAGGAGGCAAGCGUUAUCCGGAAUUAUUGGGCGUAAAGCGUCCGCAGGUGGCGAUUCAAGUCUGCUGUCAAAGCACGGGGCUUAACUCCGUAAAGGCAGUGGAAACUGAAUAGCUAGAGUGCCGUAGGGGUAGAGGGAAUUCCCGGUGUAGCGGUUAAAUGCGUAGAGAUCGGGAAGAACAUCGGUGGCGAAAGCGCUCUACUGGACGGCAACUGACACUCAGGGACGAAAGCUAGGGGAGCGAAUGGGAUUAGAUACCCC
rnacentral:rRNA from 1 species